GAGCCCGUAGCUCAGUGGACAGAGUACUUGGUUCCGGACCAAGAGGUCACGGGUUCAAAUCCCGUCGGGCUCG
rnacentral:tRNA from 2 species